rnacentral:pre_miRNA from 1 species
GCGCCACCACCGCGCCGUGACGUCACAGAGAUGAGUUCGUGUACGAACUCAUCUCUGUGACGUCACGGCGCGGUGGUGGCGC